rnacentral:lncRNA from 1 species
UUUCCAGGUACAACGAAAGAUAACACAUAUGAAAGCGUGUCACAAACGGACAAAGGUAAAUUUUAUUCAAAGAAAGAUACGUUAUGCAUUUGGUUAUAAAUGUGCAGUGAUUAGCAUUGUAACCUUACAAACUUGAAGCUAUAAUUUCGGAUAUUGCAAGUCACAGACUUUUCAAGCCAGUUCGCAUUGGAAAAGAUGAAAAAGAGAAAAGAUCUUUUCUUAAUCUUUCCUUUGCCAACAAAGGUCUCGAUGGCGUCAACCUAGGCAAUAUCCUUCAUCAUAAAUUAGUGCAAUCGAAAAUACCUCCUUAUUUCAAAG